AUGGGACAUUUGUACAAUCCACAUAUGAAGAUAAGGAAGAAAGAGAUGUUUAUUUGCUGUCCAAAAAGUUCUCUCACGUCACUUUUGGCCCAAGAGAAGAUAGAGUCCAAGUCUCUCACGUUCUGGAUUCAGAUUCGGACUGCACAGACAUACCUGACUCAAAACGCACACAAGUUUUUCAUACGGACUCCGAAUUGGGUGAUUCUUUUUUUGUUGGAAACUAGAUUUCGUGCACUUUCCAACCCAAUUGGAAUCACCUUCAAAUUCGUCCGGAGCGUUGAGUUGUGGACGAAACAAUCUGAUGCUGCAGCAGAAUCCGAGUCAAACUACAAGUCCAAAGGUGUUACAUCACCUCCACUUGGGCCCAUUGGCCUUGUACGACCUAGAUUUAGUUUUAGGCUGCCUUGGGACGUCCUCCCACCUCCUUGGCCGCCACCCCUUGCUCCUAUAUAA
rnacentral:rRNA from 1 species